AUUGAACGCUGGCGGCAGGCCUAACACAUGCAAGUCGAACGCGUGGAGGAAGGGGGAGUAAUAUCUGGGAAACCGCCCGAUGGAGAGGGAUAACAACUGGAAAAGAUAGCGAAACACGCAUAACAUGGGAUUGCCAAAGAUGGUGUUAGCUUGUAGGUGAGGUAACGGCGCACCUAGGCGACGAUCCCUAGAUGGUCUGUGAGGAUGACCAGCCACACUGGAACUGAGACACGGUCCAGACGCCUACGGGAGGCAGCAGUGGUGAAUAUUGCACAAUGGGCGAAAGCCGGAUGCAGCCAUGCCGCGUGUAUGAAGAAGGCUUUCGGGUUGUAAAGUACUUUCAGCGGAGAGGCGUUACCCGCAGAAGAAGCACCGGCUAACUCCGUGCCAGCAGCCGCGGUAAUUC
rnacentral:rRNA from 1 species